rnacentral:rRNA from 1 species
AGAGUUUGAUCAUGGCUCAGAUUGAACGCUGGCGGCAGGCCUAACACAUGCAAGUCGAACGGUAGCACAGAGAGCUUGCUCUCGGGUGACGAGUGGCGGACGGGUGAGUAAUGUCUGGGAAACUGCCUGAUGGAGGGGGAUAACUACUGGAAACGGUAGCUAAUACCGCAUAACGUCGCAAGACCAAAGAGGGGGACCUUCGGGCCUCUUGCCAUCAGAUGUGCCCAGAUGGGAUUAGCUAGUAGGUGGGGUAACGGCUCACCUAGGCGACGAUCCCUAGCUGGUCUGAGAGGAUGACCAGCCACACUGGAACUGAGACACGGUCCAGACUCCUACGGGAGGCAGCAGUGGGGAAUAUUGCACAAUGGGCGCAAGCCUGAUGCAGCCAUGCCGCGUGUAUGAAGAAGGCCUUCGGGUUGUAAAGUACUUUCAGCGGGGAGGAAGGUGAUGAGGUUAAUAACCACAUCAAUUGACGUUACCCGCAGAAGAAGCACCGGCUAACUCCGUGCCAGCAGCCGCGGUAAUACGGAGGGUGCAAGCGUUAAUCGGAAUUACUGGGCGUAAAGCGCACGCAGGCGGUCUGUCAAGUCGGAUGUGAAAUCCCCGGGCUCAACCUGGGAACUGCAUUCGAAACUGGCAGGCUAGAGUCUUGUAGAGGGGGGUAGAAUUCCAGGUGUAGCGGUGAAAUGCGUAGAGAUCUGGAGGAAUACCGGUGGCGAAGGCGGCCCCCUGGACAAAGACUGACGCUCAGGUGCGAAAGCGUGGGGAGCAAACAGGAUUAGAUACCCUGGUAGUCCACGCCGUAAACGAUGUCGACUUGGAGGUUGUGCCCUUGAGGCGUGGCUUCCGGAGCUAACGCGUUAAGUCGACCGCCUGGGGAGUACGGCCGCAAGGUUAAAACUCAAAUGAAUUGACGGGGGCCCGCACAAGCGGUGGAGCAUGUGGUUUAAUUCGAUGCAACGCGAAGAACCUUACCUACUCUUGACAUCCAGAGAACUUUCCAGAGAUGGAUUGGUGCCUUCGGGAACUCUGAGACAGGUGCUGCAUGGCUGUCGUCAGCUCGUGUUGUGAAAUGUUGGGUUAAGUCCCGCAACGAGCGCAACCCUUAUCCUUUGUUGCCAGCGGUUCGGCCGGGAACUCAAAGGAGACUGCCAGUGAUAAACUGGAGGAAGGUGGGGAUGACGUCAAGUCAUCAUGGCCCUUACGAGUAGGGCUACACACGUGCUACAAUGGCGCAUACAAAGAGAAGCGACCUCGCGAGAGCAAGCGGACCUCAUAAAGUGCGUCGUAGUCCGGAUUGGAGUCUGCAACUCGACUCCAUGAAGUCGGAAUCGCUAGUAAUCGUAGAUCAGAAUGCUACGGUGAAUACGUUCCCGGGCCUUGUACACACCGCCCGUCACACCAUGGGAGUGGGUUGCAAAAGAAGUAGGUAGCUUAACCUUCGGGAGGGCGCUUACCACUUUGUGAUUCAUGACUGGGGUGAAGUCGUAACAAGGUAACCGUAGGGGAACCUGCGGUUGGAUCACCU